rnacentral:rRNA from 1 species
CAGGAGCAAUCCUGUCAGUGGCGCAAGGGUGCGUAACACGUGGGCAAUCUGCCGAGAAGUGGGGGAUAGCUCGCCGAAAGGCGAAUUAAUACCGCAUGUGACCAGGAGCAACAUUUCUCCGACGUCAAAGCUGGGGCAACCUAGCGCUUCUUGAUGAGCCCGCGGCCUAUCAGCUCGUUGGUGAGGUAACGGCUCACCAAGGCAUUGACGGGUAGCUGGUCUCAGAGGACGACCAGCCACACUGGAACUGAGACACGGUCCAGACACCUACGGGUGGCAGCAGUCGAGAAUUUUUCUCAAUGGGGGAAACCCUGAAGGAGCGACGCCGCGUGGAGGAUGAGGGUCUUCGGAUUGUAAACUCCUGUCAUUUGAGAACAAACGGAUGCUAGUAACUACAGCGUCCUUGAUAGUAUCAGAAGAGGAAGAGGCGGCUAACUCUGUGCCAGCAGCCGCGGUAAUACAGAGGCCUCAAGCGUUGUUCGGAUUCAUUGGGCGUAAAGGGAGCGUAGGCGGUCGGGUAAGUCGGAUGUGAAAUCCUGGGGCUCAACCUCAGAACUGCAUUCGAUACUGCUUGGCUAGAGGGUUGGAGAGGUGAGUGGAAUUCACGGUGUAGCA